GGGCGGGUAGCUCAGUUGGUUAGAGCAUCGCGUUGACAUCGCGAAGGUCGUAGGUUCGAGCCCUAUCUCGCCCACAA
rnacentral:tRNA from 3 species